GUGGGGGGUCCACCUACCGUCCCCCCUUACCGCGGGUCCAAACGCGGAAGCUGAGCGGAUCCAGGCCUGGCCGAGUGCGGAGCCGGGGAAGACGCUCCGGACCUCGGAUUCCGAGUCUGGCGCACGGAGGACAAAUCCGGGGUGGAUGGCAACGACCUGUGGCCGGGGGUACCAAAAAUGAAAGAGACACGGAGGACCCUUGGCUUCAAAGUGGCGGAGAAGCGACCGCGAGGAGAAUUCGGGGCACGCGAGGCGGCCACCGGAGACCCGGGGCCAGGGGCACGGACGCCCAGCGGGCCUGGGGCGGUGUGUUCCCCAGCCGGAGCUGCGUGGAGGAGCAGGGCAUCACAGCGCCUGCUCCAGCCGGGAUAAGGGCCUGGGCGAAUCGCCGCCGCCGACGCUCGCGCUGGGACGCAGCGAGAGAGGGUCACCCCAGACUCUGCCCAAUCUUUGGAGCCGGCUUCGUUCGGUUGAUCGAUGAAGGCGUCAGGCCGGCCCACCAUAAAGUCAAUGCAAUCGAUGCGGACGUCCACGACCGCUCGAAACAGAGACCUCUCCCCGUUGCUGCGCGCUCGCCGAGUUCCACGCAACAGGACUUGGAAUCCGACACCCGCAACGUCGCGCGCCGACUCGCUCUCCUGAGCUCCAGGUUCCACACCUGCGAAAUGGGUUUGCUACACCGUGCGGUUUAUUGGAGGCGACGUUUGGGAGAUCCUCACGAGAAGGACCGCGUUUUUCUACACUCGUUAAAUGCAGCAAUCAGAGCGGCUGCUAUCCACAGACUUAAAGCCUCCAGAAAGGACCCUUGGUGCCGACUUGUCUGGAAGCCAUCAGGGUUAGUUUUGAAGCAGGAAUCUUGA
rnacentral:lncRNA from 1 species